rnacentral:piRNA from 1 species
UGCUAACUCCUGUAGAUUCUA